rnacentral:rRNA from 1 species
GCUGGCGGCGCGCUUAACACAUGCAAGUCGCACGAGAAAGCAGGAGCAAUCUUGUGAGUAAAGUGGCGUACGGGUGAGUAACACGUGGAUCAUCUACCUUCUAGUGGGGAAUACCUCUGGGAAACCGGAGAUAAUUCCGCAUAAGCUCGUGAGAGGAAAGCCGAAAGGCGCUGGAAGAGGAGUCCGCGGCUGAUUAGCUAGAUGGCGGGGUAACGGCCCACCAUGGCGAAGAUCGGUAGCCGGCCUGAGAGGGCACACGGCCACACUGGCACUGAAACACGGGCCAGACUCCUACGGGAGGCAGCAGUGGGGAAUCUUGCACAAUGGAGGCAACUCUGAUGCAGCGACGCCGCGUGAGCGAUGAAGCCCUUCGGGGUGUAAAGCUCUUUCGACGGGAAAGAUGAUGACGGUACCCGGAGAAGAAGCUGCGGCUAACUACGUGCCAGCAGCCGCGGUAAUACGUAGGCAGCGAGCGUUGUUCGGAAUUACUGGGCGUAAAGAGUGUGUAGGCGGUGCUCCAAGUCUGGUGUGAAAUCUCCCGGCUUAACUGGGAGGGUGCCGCCGGAAACUGGAGUGCUA